GACGAACGCUGGCGGCGCGCUUCACACAUGCAAGUCGAACGUGAAGCCCGGGCUUGCCCGGGUGGAAAGUGGCGAACGGGUGAGUAACACGUGAGCAACCUGCCCCGAAGACUGGGAUAACACCGGGAAACCGGUGCUAAUACCGGAUGCCCUCGCCGGACCGCAUGAUCCGGCGAGGAAAGCUCCGGCGCUUCGGGAUGGGCUCGCGGCCUAUCAGCUUGUUGGUGGGGUCAAGGCCCACCAAGGCGACGACGGGUAGCUGGUCUGAGAGGAUGUCCAGCCACACUGGGACUGAGACACGGCCCAGACUCCUACGGGAGGCAGCAGUGGGGAAUCUUGCGCAAUGGGCGAAAGCCUGACGCAGCGACGCCGCGUGCGGGAUGAAGGCCUUCGGGUUGUAAACCGCUUUCAGCAGGGACGAAAUUGACGGUACCUGCAGAAGAAGCCCCGGCCAACUACGUGCCAGCCGCCGCGGUAAGAC
rnacentral:rRNA from 1 species